GAAGCUCCGCCCUCGGCUCCACCCCGGACAGCGCCCAGACCAGUCUCGGGGUCUUCUUCCCACUCGCGAGCCGCGCUCUCGCCCUCUGCGGCUCUGUGAUCAUGUGUGGCCGCGCGUAAAGGCCUGCGUGCACUCUGGCACGGGGCGAUAGGGAGGCGUGGGUCUGACGUGCGUGAGGUGUGUGCGUGCGCGGGGACACGCGGGUCACUGUUGCAGCCUCCAGGCUGCUGGAAGCAUUUGGGAAGAGGGGGAGGGGAGCUUCCGGCACACAGAGCGGUGGCCUAGGGACCUCAGCGGAUAGUGUCGCCGGAGUCGCCGAGGCUGCAAGUCACUCGGAGGCCCAGUGGGGACACUGGGCUCUGGAAGUGGCGCUGUAUAGGUCAGAGCGGCUACUGUCCCCUCUGCUCCAACCUUGAUUUCCGGAGCCUGCGACACGCCCGCGUGCGUCAGCGAGUCAGUUGCAAAUUAAACUCUCCCGAGAGCCGGCUCCGCACUGUAAAGUUGCGUGCAAUCUUCCCUAGUGUCAAAGCCUCUUUCCGCCAUUUCCCAAGCAUUUAAGAAAUUAAAAAAGACAAAGUGGGUUUGUGAGACUGCGGAGUCUCGCUACGUGAGGUCACGCGGGUUCUGGAUGUCUGCUUUCCUGCAGUGUAGAGAGGGCGGACACUUUUUCCCAGCCUGGUCUCAGCACGUGGCCUCCUGCCCUGUUGAGCGUGCCACACCAAGACUAACCAAAUCAGGUUUGGAGAGUUUGUGAAAUCACAUGUGAGUGAAGACUUCACACCCUUUGCCUUCUACUAACAGACGUCCGAGGAGAAUUCAGGCAUUUGGGGUCCAGUAGAGGAGACGCCAGGUGGUUGCUCACAACCUGCUGUAGCUGAACAAGACAGCUGGGCAUCCGCAGCCACUCUAGAUUGAAAAUGCUGUUCCGUGGGCUAAAGGAAGGGAACCAAGAGAGAGAGAGGCCGAGGAGAGGGAAUGUAAGGGGGCCUAA
rnacentral:lncRNA from 1 species